GGAUCUUGGUUCAAACAUGUAAGAUACAGCUUGCCGGGGUAGUCUGAACACCUGCAGAGAGGAACAUCUGAAGAGUUGUUGAGGUUCGGAGACCACUUGAUCUAAAAGUAGUGGGGAGCUGUGAGAACAGCACUGAUGGCGGCGCUAACAAUGAGGGGAAUGUAAGGAUGUGGUUUGCUCUCAAGAAGGUUAGAAAGAAAGUAGGAGGGGGAAGGAGGAGAGAGAGGUGGGCUGCUGGUAUGCAGAACAGUAGGAACUAAAGCGCAGUGAAAGGAAAUAGCUGAGGCUGUAAAAAGUGAAAAAGGUUACCGAGAACUGAAGAAAUCAGAGAUGAGAUAAUGUGGCUGAAUGGAGAACUGCCCAAGCUUCUUGCUUCUCGUUUCUGCAGUUCACCCUGUGUCAACCUCUAGCAGCACGGGAGGUUAUAUGGACAAUUUGUUCUGAUCCUUUUGCCUGCAAACAUCACUUCCCAGACCAGAAAUUAACGGAUCAACAGAAAAGUGGCUUCAUCAGAAUACCCACAAAGACCAUGCUGUUACAAGAGCCCCCAGCCAGAAGGAAUGUACACCAUAGUGAUUUGGAGGACGUCCAGCAAGUCCAAGAGCACGUCGGAAGACUGUUAAGAACUCUCUCUUUGUGACAGGCCUACUAUCCAAAUGCACAAAGAGAGGACCUUCUCCUUGUGGCCGUGCCGCCACAUAGACACGGAGAGCUUCAACAGGACAGAUCCACAUCUCUCUAGAAAGUCCCAGUUGGACCAAAGACCUUUCUUGACCUAUUUGAGAUGUAUGCAAGCAAAGGUUUGCACUCCAGCCAGUCAGCUGGAGAUCACUCAAGUACAAGAGCUUUGGCUGCACUACAUUUCUCUGAUUUGCCACUAUUUCUUCUGUGUGUAGUGCCCCCCAAAAAGCGACAGUAAAUAAGGCACGGAACAAUAUACACUCAUAAGGAGAGCUACACACAGACUCCAGAGUUCCCAGGAGAGAUCUUAACACUUCAAUUGUUACAGGAGAGUAUUUAUCUUUUGAAAGGGCAGUCCUACGUUUCAAUCUUGAUAUCACGUGACAGAUGGCGGGGUCUUGAAGAGGAUCAGGAUGAUCUACCAUUUUGGAGAUGAAGGAUAGUCCUUCCAAGUACUUUAUUAUUUUUGUGAGAGGCAGAUCCUGGGACUCCAUGAUGACCAAGAACCCUUUCACUUGACUCACUGGAACUGGCCAAACUGCAGGCAGUGCCAUGCAUUCUCUAAAGGCAAGAAACUUCUUCAGGCCCUCGCAGUAGAGCUGCCAUUGGCGGUUACUUCCUGAGCCCUCCAGUAACAUAAGAGUCUUCAGGGGCCAAGGACCCAAGGGAUGCUUCUCAGAAACACAGCUGAGUUCAUCUGCAGAGAGAAACCUACAUUAGCAAUGGCAAGCAAGGCAGUCUCACAGACAAGCAGACAAAAGCUUCUUUCCUUACAGCACCCUGCAGCCAUUGCUUGAGCUUCUCCGGGAAAAAAUAACAACAACACAAAAACUCUACAAGAGUGUCCCUUGCAUUUUUAUGACUCUCAUGUGUAGAGCCAUAAGGAUGGAAGGUUAAGUGUAAGAACAGCCCAUGACUUUUCUCCUUAGAGCAAUGCUCCAAGCCUGGUGAGGGACCCAGAACUGCACCCCAGGGUUCUGCAACCCCAGCCCGAGAUGAACAAACACAAGGGUCUGGAAGUGACAGAAAUACAUAUUACAAAUAAAUUCUUAGUGCAUGCAGCUCCCACCAGGCUUCCUACACAGGGGUCAGAGCCCAAGGAAAGAGCAUGCCAGCCUCCCACUUACCUUGGCCACCGCAUGCAGCCCCCCGUGCCCAGACCCCUCAGAGCCACACAUACCCACUCUGUCCCCACCACCAGGCUCCUGGCCGCUCGAACCCAGCGAUCCAGCGCAGCCAUUCGGACAACGCAGCAGCCACUCCAUACCGGGUUCUCGUCCCAGCAAGGCGAGGAGCUCCCAGAACGACGAAGGGCUGGCGGCAGCCGGCUCGACCCCGAUCUCAGAGCGCCACAUCACCAACAAAGCGACGCCCCCAACGCUACAAGCACGAAGCAGCACCACGACGUCCCCGUUCCACCUUUAUGUACCCUGGCCCGACCUCUCGGCCAAUGAGAGGGACCGUCUCUCAGCCGUGCCCUUCUCUCAGCCAAUCGCGGAGCCCGU
ensembl:lncRNA